CCUGACGUCACACGGAGGCCUCGCCCCACCUCCCUCGACACAGCACAGCCAAUGGGCGCCUCGAGCUUGACUUGAGCCCGCCCCCCGCUUGCGCAAGGACGCGUGGGCGUUUAAGGCAAGCCGGAAGACUAGGGUGGGGACGGUGGCCCCGAGGGGACACGCCCGGCGGGGUCGGCCGGCGUUGUGCCGGCACACGCAACCGGGUCUUGGCUCAGUGAGUGGUAGCCGCCGUUGUUUCCAGACACAGAGUAGCGUGAGGUGCGUUGUGAGACUACCUGCCGUACAGCUGUGGAAGCCCGGGGCAGAGAAUGGUGAAGUCGAAGAAAGGGGCCACAGUCAAACACGCGGCUCUCCACACUCCCCUGGAACCGGAUCUUCUGCAGUCCUGUCCUUGUCUAAGCCCAUCAGGAGAGGUGCCGAGAGCUUCUGAGACUGAGCCCCCAACCCCACCCCAGGCGGGACUGGGCACAGAGGCCUGAGGACCCAGGGCCUGCGCUGGGUUGAUGGGAUCACCUGAAUCGAGCCCGGUCUCCUCCUCGGUCAGGUUCAGGAUGUAGGUGUCAGGACUGGAGCAGAAGUCGCUAAGGCCCUGAGAGAAGCAUCAGGAAAAAGGGCUCAGACCAGAAACUUUUCUAGUUCCACACUCGCACAGAACUCAGUGUCUGGAUAACAGCCCAGCCCCCCAGCCCUGGGAAGCCAGGAGUCCAGGCCCCCAGCCCCUCCUCCCUCAGGCCCAGGAGUCCUGGCCCCCAGCCCCCCCUCCCUUAGAACACACGUAUCCAAGGCUCUAGCUUCCAGCCCUCAGGAUCUAGACCUCAGAACCUGGGAUCCUGGCCCCAAGUCCUUCCUCUCAGGGUCUGCCCCGGGAUGCAG